AUGCACGCUGGCGGCGUGCCUCAUCCCUGCCAGUCGAGCGCACAGACGAGGAGCUUGCUCCUCUGACGUUAGCGGCGGACGGGUGAGUAACACGUGGAUAACCUACCUAUAAGACUGGGAUAACUUCGGGAAACCGGAGCUAAUACCGGAUAAUAUAUUGAACCGCAUGGUUCAAUAGUGAAAGACGGUUUUGCUGUCACUUAUAGAUGGAUCCGCGCCGCAUUAGCUAGUUGGUAAGGUAACGGCUUACCAAGGCAACGAUGCGUAGCCGACCUGAGAGGGUGAUCGGCCACACUGGAGCUGAGACACGGUCCAGACUCCUACGGGAGGCAGCAGUAGGGAAUCUUACGCAAUGGACGAAAGCCUGACGGAGCAACGCCGCGUGAGUGAUGAAGGUCUUCGGAUCGUAAAACUCUGUUAUUAGGGAAGAACAAAUGUGUAAGUAACUAUGCGCGGCUUGACGGUACCUAUUCAGAAAGCCACGGCUAACUACGUG
rnacentral:rRNA from 1 species